rnacentral:rRNA from 1 species
UACAGAGGUGGCGAGCGUUGUUCGGAAUCAUUGGGCUUAAAGCGUGUGUAGGCGGACCAGAAAGUGUCUUGUGAAAUCCCUCGUCUUAACCGAGGAAUGGCUCGGCAAACUACUGGUCUUGAGUCAAGUAGGGGUGCCUGGAACUCUUGGUGGAGCGGUGAAAUGCGUAGAUAUCAAGAGGAACGCCCGUGGUGAAAACGGGGCACUGGGCUUGAACUGACGCUGAGACACGAAAGCGUGGGGAGUGAACGGGAUUAGAUACCCCCGUA